rnacentral:rRNA from 1 species
UAGCUACAGGCUUAACACAUGCAAGUCGAGGGGCAGCAUGGUCUUAGCUUGCUAAGGCCGAUGGCGACCGGCGCACGGGUGAGUAACACGUAUCCAACCUGCCGUCUACUCUUGGACAGCCUUCUGAAAGGAAGAUUAAUACAAGAUGGCAUCAUGAGUCCGCAUGUUCACAUGAUUAAAGGUAUUCCGGUAGACGAUGGGGAUGCGUUCCAUUAGAUAGUAGGCGGGGUAACGGCCCACCUAGUCUUCGAUGGAUAGGGGUUCUGAGAGGAAGGUCCCCCACAUUGGAACUGACACACGGUCCACACUCCUACGGGAGGCAGCAGUGAGGAAUAUUGGUCAAUGGGCGAGAGCCUGAACCAGCCAAGUAGCGUGAAGGAUGACUGCCCUAUGGGUUGUAAACUUCUUUUAUAAAGGAAUAAAGUCGGGUAUGCAUACCCGUUUGCAUGUACUUUAUGAAUAAGGAUCGGCUAACUCCGUGCCAGCAGCCGCGGUAAUACGGAGGAUCCGAGCGUUAUCCGGAUUUAUUGGGUUUAAAGGGAGCGUAGAUGGAUGUUUAAGUCAGUUGUGAAAGUUUGCGGCUCAACCGUAAAAUUGCAGUUGAUACUGGAUAUCUUGAGUGCAGUUGAGGCAGGCGGAAUUCGUGGUGUAGCGGUGAAAAUGCUUACAUAUUCACGAAGAACUCCGAUUUGCGAAAGCAGCCUGCUAAACUGCAGCCUGACAUUGAGGCUCG